rnacentral:rRNA from 1 species
UACGUAGGGGCCGAGCGUUGUCCGGAGUUACUGGGCGUAAAGCGUGCGCAGGCGGCGCGUUCUGCCCGGCGUGAAAGCCCCCGGCUCAACCGGGGAGGGUCGUCGGGGACGGGCGCGCUUGAGGGUAUCAGGGGCUGGUGGAAUUCCCGGUGUAGUGGUGAAAUGCGUAGAGAUCGGGAGGAACACCUGUGGCGAAGGCGGCCAGCUGGGAUACACCUGACGCUGAGAUGCGAAGGCGUGGGGAGCGAACGGGAUUAGAUACCCCCCGUAGUCCCUGAGCGGGCUGG